UACGAAGGGGGCUAGCGUUGUUCGGAUUUACUGGGCGUAAAGCGCACGUAGGCGGCUCGUUAAGUCAGGGGUGAAAUCCUGGGGCUCAACCCCAGAACUGCCUUUGAUACUGGCGAUCUCGAGUCCGGAAGAGGUGAGUGGAACUCCUAGUGUAGAGGUGAAAUUCGUAGAUAUUCGGAUGAACACCAGUGGCGAAGGCGGCUCACUGGUCCGGUACUGACGCUGAUGUGCGAAAGCGUGGGGAGCAAACAGG
rnacentral:rRNA from 1 species